CUGCACUCCAGCCUGGGCAACAGAGUGAGACCCUGUCUCCAAAAAAAAUUUUUAAAAGGUUAGAAUUCGGUUAGGGGACACCAUUUUAGGUAAGGUACACAGGAAGGCCUCUCUGAUAAGACAAUAACUGAACAGAAACCUGAAGGAAGGCAGUGAACAUGCAAAUAUCAAGAAGGGUGUUCUACUCAGAGGGAAUAGCAAGUACAAAGGCCCUGUGGUGGGACCGUGGGAAUCUUAGAGAACAACAAGGAGGCUGGGGUGGCCAGAUUGGCAUAAAUGAGGAGGAGAGCAGCAGACAAUGAGCCCAGGAGACAGCAGGCACCAGACCUGGCCAGCCUUAGAGAUUACGGUAAGAACUUGGGAUGUCCCACGAUGUGGGUUUAGAAUCCAGUGAAGGUUCCAAACAGAAGGGUGACAUACUCCGAAUUGCAUUUUGAAAGGACCGCUCUGGGUGCCACGUUGAGAACAGACUGUGACGGGCCAGGGAUGGACUCAGAGGGACCAGUUAGGAGGUGGUUGUGGUAAUUCAGACCUGAUAAGAUGCUAGCAGAGGUGGUGAGCAGCCGUCAGAAUCCAGAUAUAUUUGGGAUGUGGAGCCAGUAAGACAGAUGUGAAAUAUGAGAGAAAGAGGAAUCAAAGAUGACCCCAAGGCCAUUGACUUGCGAUACUGAAAACAUGAAGCUGCCAUUUAUGGAGAUGGGGAAACCAAGCACAUGGAGUAGAAUGGGUGAGUCUUGACCUUGACCUUCUGCCUCUAAGGUCAUGCUCCUCUCUCACAGAUGCAGCCCCAGUUAUGGCAUGACAUGACUUUAGCGGGUCUUCCCGAGCCAUUGGCAGACAUCUGCAAGUUUUAUCUUUUGAUUGGGGGCACCUUGGACAUCUCCAACUGAGAUCCUCUUUCCUCCAGUCAUGUUGUCUGAAUGUACUGGGAAGCAGCAGGGCUUGUCCAGGUCAUGAUGGUGACAAGAGGCAGCAGGCUGGACACCCCCGUGAGCAGAGCCAAGCUGAGGCAGUGAGGCUCACUCCAGCAGGGCUGGUAGGAGCGGAGGAGCAGGUAUCAGGGCAGGAGGCCUCGCCUCGCCUGCACAGUAGAAUCACGGGGGAAUUUCUGCCCGGGUCCUACUCCAGGCCAAUUGCCAGAAUGUGGGGGUAGGAGCCAGGCAUCCAUGGUUUUUAAAGUUCCCUAGUAUUCGGCCAAGGUCGAGAGCAAUUUCCUUCAGUCAGCAAGUGUGUCUUCAGUGCUUCUUGUUGUUUGCUGAUUCCAACUAUGCUUAGCAAGAACCUAGGCACUGUGGGGGGAGGAAACACCCCUGUCCUUACAAAUUAAGGUGAAGCAGACAGGGACUGCAGGGCAUUCUCUUCCUACUCUGCACUGAAAUCAAAUCAGACUCUCCGAGAUAACAUUGAGUCCUCCUAGUCUCAUUUUAUGCAUCUCCAUCUCUAGCCCUGCUUUGAAGGUGAAGCAUAUUUCAGAGAUUAUUUUUAAAUGCAAUCUGGCAAAGCCCUGCCCAGAAAGUCUCCCAAAAGGGCCCAUGGUGUGUGGAAUGUGGCAGAGAGGUGACAGAGUGCGGGCUGAGCCAGCAAUGUCCCAGGUGUUCCUUUCCUGGCCAUGGGCACUGGGUAGGCAGGACUGAGAGGAAAGUGAAAGAAUGGCAGUUCCCCCAGGGCAGACUGACCCACAGACAGGUCCAAUUUCAAUUCCAGAUGCAGGAGGCUGAGAUGCAGGCUCCUGCUCCCCACAUUCAUGCCCAUCAGCAAGCCAUGCCAUAUCCAGCAGACAGACAGCCGUUCAGUGCACAGAAUACCCCUCCAGGCCAGCAGCAGCUGUCACCCCUCUUCAGUCAUCUGCUCUUCAGACACUUCUGUGGACAGAGCCCAGAUAACUUGAUUAAGGUAAGAUGAAAUGAGAAACAUUUGCUCCUUUAAAAUCGCUAACAUCUGUCCUGGCCAGCAGAGCCACAGCUCUUUGUAACUGAGGAAAGACAAUCCCUGAGAAGUCUGGGUGUGGGAACGAUGGCGCUCCCGGUGCACCCACCUCCCACCUGCCUGCCCCUGGGAGCCUGCAGGGAAGACAAGGCAUUGCUGUACAAGGACCUGGACUUGAGUCUUGACUCCACCAAGACUCUGUGUGCCCUUGAGGCAGAUGGUGACCUCUCUGGACUUCAGUUUCCUUGCAUGUUUGCCGGGAGGAGGAGCUAGAGGAUGCGAGCAGGUGCAGAAGACAUGAGGCGGUGCUCCAUUUGCCCCUGCAAAGACCUCCUUCCUUCCUGUGAGCCCGGAAGGAAGAGAGUGAAACCACCGGCACAUGGCCACAGCCUGACCUUAUGGAGGUGGCCUCAGUGGCUGGGGAUGGGUCUGGCUUUAGUGUCUGGUCAAGCGAAUAAAUGACUUUCAAGAACUGUGUACAGGGAGGUGUUUGGCAGGUGGACCCAGGGCUGGCCCCAGAGAGAGACCACUGUGAUGCCACUUCAUAGCUGAUGACAUGAGGCCGAGAGGCAUCUGAAGAUAUGACAGUUACUCAUUGCCUGUCCAAGUCAGCGAGGACACAGGGAAGGAGCCAGGGAUGGCGGUUCUGGCAUCUCCCACGUCGACAAGACGGCACCACCUAACACGGCCACAGCUUCCCCACUUCUGUGCAGGCUCCAGACUGGGUCCCUAUGGUGGAUUAAUGAUGGCCACAAUUCCUUGUCAUUCUCCCAUCAAGAGGUGGAAUUUCCUUCCCUCCCAUGGACCUGAGCUGGCCACAACAGCUUAACCAAAGGAAGGAGGAAGAAGUGACGCUGGGCCAGCUUCUGGCUAAGUGUUAAGAAGGCUUCUGCUUCCGCACUUUGAGGAGCCCUGAGCCUCCAUGUGAGAAGUCCCCAGCUCCCUUCACCAGAAAGGCUGCAUGGAGACACCUCAUAGAGAGGCCACAUAGGGAGCCAAGGCCUUGAGACGACGUGGAGAGGCAGCUGUUCUGGGCCCCUGGGAGAGCGUCCAGGGGACUCCAGCCCAGGCACCUUCUGCCUGCAACCUCCCAAGAGACCCCAAGUGAGACCAGCCAACAAUCGCCCAACUGAGCCUAGUCAACCUGAGGAACCAUGGCAGGGAAUAAGCGCUUGCUGUUCCAAACCAUUAAGUUCGGGGUGGUUUAUUACACAGCAGUGGAUCAGUAGAGACCUCUCCAUUGCUGUCUUUAGGUAACUUUCUGUUGCCUUCAUCUAAGAGCCGGGCCCCAGAAAUCAGAAAUUCCCCCGCAUCAGGGUCCCUGUAGGGCAUCUCCACAGCAUCCCUUGUGGUGCAUGUGUCUUCAGGUCACCUCCGACUUUUAUGUGUCACACAAUAUUCAAGUGUAGAGGAUGCAGGAGGCACCAGAUGGACCUCGAAUUGUGAAAUCCCAGGAGCCCAUCUCCUGGUUCUUGUGGGCAGGCUUAAAACACAAACAGGCGCUCCUGAUUUGUUUUCAUCCUCUUCCCUCUCCUGGGACCGAUUCUGAUUCAGCCCCUCGGAAGUGCCGUCUGUUCUGGCCACUCAGUGCCCUUCAGGCCUGGCUUGUGCUCACGCUGUCGGCCUGGGGCCCACUCCCAGCAUCAGGGCAGCUUGGUUCUUGCAGCCUCUUGAGUGCGGACUCAGCCUCCUCAAAUCCCUGCAAGGCCUCCUGCUUCAGGGCAGCUCUGACGGGGUGGCCCGAGCCGCAUCCUCACCAGCACAUCCUGACGAACCCAGCCAGCCUCCAGACUCCCCUAACCACUGGCACUCCCUGACAGGAGCCCCAGUCUUCCAGAUCAACAGGGAGAUACUAAAAACUCUCAUUCUGAACCAAGUAACUCUCUCUAAAAGAGAGCCAAGGCCCCUUCACUCACUUUGGCCCCUACUCUAAGCUUUGGCCUUGGAGGGACAAGUAUGGUUUAUAGAUAUUUUUAGGAACAAUUUCAAAUGUACACGAAAGCAGAGAGAGAUGCAGAUUAGACUCCCAUGGGCCGUCCCUAGGGCUCAUGGCAUUCUCAUUUCCCAUCGCCUAGCCUCUGUCUCUGCACUCCAGGUUACUCUGAGGCAAAUCCUGGCUAUCACAUCAUUUCGUUGUAAAUAUUGAGGCGUGCAGCUCUAGAAGCGAGGACUCCCCUCUUCAACUACAGUACCAUCGUCCACACUUUCUGAGAAUCUCAUCUGGGCCGGGCCCUGCCCCAAAUGCCUCCCAGGUAAGGCCCACUGUGGAAUGUGCCAGAAAUGAGACCGUAGGGCUGGCCCUGAGGCAUCAGCUCCCCGGUUUGGGGGACUCCAUAGAACAUGGUAGGGCCAGAAGCCAGAGGAGAGUGAGAGAAUCACAGACACACACGCAGGACAAGAUUCCGAAAGCCGACUAGACUUGGAUGCAGCCAUGGUGCUGCCCUGUGCACCGACACCCCAUCUCGUCACCUUCCCCACCAGAGCUGCCUGGCCUGGUUUUAGUGUCCUUGGGUGGCCUCAGAGCUGCAGACUCCCAGAAGGUAAAAAUGGCUUAGUUGUUCACUGUCACCCCGAGAAUAGUGCAGAUUCCAGUGAACAGCCAGGCCCAGCAAGGGCCAUCUGCCCGUGGACCCCGCACCAGCGUCCCUGUGCUGCCCUCCUCGGCGCUACCCAGAAUGCCUCACUCAGAAGCAUGGCGGGACUCCUGGCUUUCCCAUACAUGUGAAACAGGGUCCAGAGCAGGGGAAAUAAAUACAAGAAAUUAAAGGCUGUUUUCAUUAAGUAAAAUUUUGAAAACAAGUUAGCUUGCAGAUUCCUAAAACGCAGUAAUUAUGCCUUUAUGCUGUUUUGUGUCUCUCAUAGUUUCUAUACCAACAUUUCUAACCUUGACACUAUGGAAUUUCAAGCCAGACCCUUCUUUGUUGUGGGGGGCCAUUCUGAGCAUUGUAGACUCCCUAGUCUGUACCCCCGGAUGCUAGCAGCAGCCUUUCUUCUCCAAGCUGUGACAACCAAAAAUGUCUGCAGACGUUGCCAAAUGUGCCCUGGGAGGCAAAGCUACCCUUUGGUUGACAGCCGCUGAUCUAUACAACAAAGAUGGUCGCUAUGGUUGGAGACAGAAAUAAGUCGACCUACUGUGAUAUGUUUCCCAUAGACUCUUUCUGAGAACUCAGGUCAUAGUUUUACAGGACUCGACCAAAGAUUUGUAUCCAUUGUUUGGAUUUUUUUUCUCAUUCUAUUAUUUUUCCUUUUUUAUUGCACCCCUAAAAGAGGUAAAACACCUUCACAAUGUCCACAUUGCAGCAAAAGCUAUAAUAUCUGUGGGAUGAUUUACAUCUAGCUAAAAAUUUAGAAGUUUCUGGAGCAAUCAGUCCUCGCUUUCGCUGAUGAUUUCAGUAGAUGGUUUGGCCCUGCCCUGCUCUCAGGAAGUCCAGAUGUCUUCCUUGAGCUCACAGAUACUGGUGCUGGGGGAAAGGUCCCAGGUUAAUGAUCACCAGGCCAAGGCAGGCUGGCUGAGCAGUUACAGAGAUGCUCACCAUGGGCCUCAGGGUUGAGGCUCCAGGAGCUCAGGUCUCAGGCCAAUGCCAUGUGGCCACAGUGCCUGCUGAGGGUGCAGCCCCGCGAAUCCCCAGAUACAGUGCAAGGGCUUCCUUAUAGAUGAAUUGUCACUUUAGUAAGCAGAGAGCAGGGCCAUGAGGUAAUGGACUGAGAACAGGCGGGGCUGGUGAAGAAAUAGAGCAAGGAAUGGGUAUCUGUAGCCCCUUGGAAGAAGCAGCAGAGAGCUCCAUAGGAGUGGGAGGCCGGAACGGAGCGGCUGAUCUGCCUCCCAAAACUGUGCCUUAGACCGAACCUCUCUCCAGCCCGAAAAUAGGCCAGGAGGGCUGGGCUGCCUGUCCCCGCAGCCUCUUUAGGGUGGGGGUGGCAAGAAUGUUCCUCUGCAGCGACACAUCCAAGCCUCUCCCACAUUGUCAGCCACUCUGCUUUGAGGCUGAGCUCCAACCCCUCCCAGGAAGGAGGAAGAAAAGACUCAUGGCCGAGACCAAGUCCCAGCAGGCGUCUCCUUAGGACAGAAGAUGGAAACGUUAACCUUUUCUGCUUGCUGAGCAGGCAGAGAAAGGAAGGCUGUUGUGAAGAAUGGGACCCUGGGCACACUCCGUGCUUGGGGACAUGACGUGCCCUUGACCACGGUGCACAGGGCAGAGGGUUGGAAAGCACUGACAGUUCUGCACAGGGGAGCCAUUCAGGCCCCUGGGUUCCCACAGGGCUGGCCAGUCAGCGCCUUGCGGGUGCCCAGCUGGGCUGGGAGUGUCCCCUCUCCCACGGUGGUAAACACGGCUGGCCUCGGGAGGGGCUGCACAGACAGCCCAGUACACCCAGCAGGCCGAGCCCAGCUCAUUCCACUGAGCCGUGGGGGCCCUGGGGACUUAACCAGAAGCCCGUGUCUGCUAACAGAAGGCACUUUGUUUCCUGGAGUGGGCGGCACUUUCUUCUCCUCUCCCUUCACAGAGGACAGGGCCACGGAGGCAUGUUUAAGUUAUUGUUAUUUCCAGCUUGGCAAAAAUGUAAAUGUGAGAGUUCACAUUGACGGAAAAUAGACAGCAUUUUCCCUGUGGACGGGUGCGGCUGUCACCCACUGCUCGGGUCCAGGAGGGCAGCUCCCUGAGGGAGGCCAAGGGGCUGGGAGGGUGAGUGCACACAGAAGUCAGAAGUAAAGAGCCACCAGCAAAUGUGACCCACACGGACACCUUCACCCCAGCUGCACUGGGCUCUCCCACUGUGCUGUGAUGAUGCAACCCGGGCCUCAUGCAUAUCCCUGGGCCUGCCCCGGUGCGGGCUGCCUGUGGCCUGUCCGCUUGCCUUCCCCAGAUAAAGAGUCAUUCUGUUCCUGGAGCUUUCAUGGGGUCUCAUUUAAUCUCCAUUACAAUAAAUUCAUUCAUUCAUUCA